rnacentral:rRNA from 1 species
AGGACGAACGUGGGGCAUUCCUAAUACAUGCAAGUAGAACGCUGAAGAGAGGAGCUUGCUCUUCUUGGAUGAGUUGCGAACGGGUGAGUAACGCGUAGGUAACCUGCCUUGUAGCGGGGGAUAACUAUUGGAAACGAUAGCUAAUACCGCAUAACAAUGGAUGACACAUGUCAUUUAUUUGAAAGGGGCAAUUGCUCCACUACAAGAUGGACCUGCGUUGUAUUAGCUAGUAGGUGAGGUAAUGGCUCACCUAGGCGACGAUACAUAGCCGACCUGAGAGGGUGAUCGGCCACACUGGGACUGAGACACGGCCCAGACUCCUACGGGAGGCAGCAGUAGGGAAUCUUCGGCAAUGGGGGCAACCCUGACCGAGCAACGCCGCGUGAGUGAAGAAGGUUUUCGGAUCGUAAAGCUCUGUUGUAAGUCAAGAACGGGUGUGAGAGUGGAAAGUUCACACUGUGACGGUAGCUUACCAGAAAGGGACGGCUAACUACGUGCCAGCAGCCGCGGUAAUACGUAGGUCCCGAGCGUUGUCCGGAUUUAUUGGGCGUAAAGCGAGCGCAGGCGGUUUGAUAAGUCUGAAGUUAAAGGCUGUGGCUCAACCAUAGUUCGCUUUGGAAACUGUCAAACUUGAGUGCAGAAGGGGAGAGUGGAAUUCCAUGUGUAGCGGUGAAAUGCGUAGAUAUAUGGAGGAACACCGGUGGCGAAAGCGGCUCUCUGGUCUGUAACUGACGCUGAGGCUCGAAAGCGUGGGGAGCGAACAGGAUUAGAUACCCUGGUAGUCCACGCCGUAAACGAUGAGUGCUAGGUGUUGGAUCCUUUCCGGGAUUCAGUGCCGCAGCUAACGCAUUAAGCACUCCGCCUGGGGAGUACGACCGCAAGGUUGAAACUCAAAGGAAUUGAGGGGGCCCGCACAAGCGGUGGAGCAUGUGGUUUAAUUCGAAGCAACGCGAAGAACCUUACCAGGUCUUGACAUCCCGAUGCUAUUUCUAGAGAUAGAAAGUUACUUCGGUACAUCGGUGACAGGUGGUGCAUGGUUGUCGUCAGCUCGUGUCGUGAGAUGUUGGGUUAAGUCCCGCAACGAGCGCAACCCCUAUUGUUAGUUGCCAUCAUUCAGUUGGGCACUCUAGCGAGACUGCCGGUAAUAAACCGGAGGAAGGUGGGGAUGACGUCAAAUCAUCAUGCCCCUUAUGACCUGGGCUACACACGUGCUACAAUGGUUGGUACAACGAGUUGCGAGUCGGUGACGGCGAGCUAAUCUCUUAAAGCCAAUCUCAGUUCGGAUUGUAGGCUGCAACUCGCCUACAUGAAGUCGGAAUCGCUAGUAAUCGCGGAUCAGCACGCCGCGGUGAAUACGUUCCCGGGCCUUGUACACACCGCCCGUCACACCACGAGAGUUUGUAACACCCGAAGUCGGUGAGGUAACCUUUUGGAGCCAGCCGCCAAACGUGGC